UUCCUCCUACGGGGCGCAGCAGUGGGGAAUAUUGCACAAUGGGGGAAACCCUGAUGCAGCAACGCCGCGUGAGUGAAGAAGGUUUUCGGAUUGUAAAGCUCUGUUAGCAGGGAAGAGGAAGGACGGUACCUGCAGAGGAAGCCACGGCUAACUACGUGCCAGCAGCCGCGGUAAUACGUAGGUGGCAAGCGUUGUCCGGAAUUACUGGGUGUAAAGGGAGCGCAGGCGGGAAGCCAAGUCAGCUGUGAAAACUACGGGCUUAACUUGUAGACUGCAGUUGAAACUGGUUUUCUUGAGUGAAGUAG
rnacentral:rRNA from 1 species